GGCCGGGUGGCGCAAUGGUAGCGCGCUUGUUUUCGGCACAAGAAGUUAGGGGUUCGAGUCCCUUCUCGGUCA